rnacentral:rRNA from 1 species
AUUGAACGCUGGCGGCAUGCCUUACACAUGCAAGUCGAACGGCAGCACGGGUGCUUGCCCCUGGUGGCGAGUGGCGAACGGGUGAGUAAUACAUCGGAACAUGUCCUGUAGGGGGGGGUAGCCCGGCGAAAGCCGGAUUAAUACCGCCUACGAUCUACGGGUGAAAGCGGGGGACCUUCGGGCCUCGCGCUAUAGGGUUGGCCGAUGGCUGAUUAGCUAGUUGGUGGGGUAAAGGCCUACCAAGGCGACGAUCAGUAGCUGGUCUGAGAGGACGACCAGCCACACUGGGACUGAGACACGGCCCAGACUCCUACGGGAGGCAGCAGUGGGGAAUUUUGGACAAUGGGCGAAAGCCUGAUCCAGCAAUGCCGCGUGUGUGAAGAAGGCCUUCGGGUUGUAAAGCACUUUUGUCCGGAAAGAAAUCCUUGGCCCUAAUACGGUCGGGGGAUGACGGUACCGGAAGAAUAAGCACCGGCUAACUACGUG